ACUGUGUGUUGUUGGGUAGGGGAGCGUUCUGUAAGCCUGUGAAGGUGUGUCGUGAGGCAUGCUGGAGGUAUCAGAAGUGCGAAUGCUGACAUAAGUAACGAUAAAGCGGGUGAAAAGCCCGCUCGCCGGAAGACCAAGGGUUCCUGUCCAACGUUAAUCGGGGCAGGGUGAGUCGACCCCUAAGGCGAGGCCGAAAGGCGUAGUCGAUGGGAAACGGGUUAAUAUUCCCGUACUUGGUGUUACUGCGAAGGGGGGACGGAGAAGGCUAUGUUGGCCGGGCGACGGUUGUCCCGGUUUAAGCGUGUAGGUGUGUGUUCCAGGUAAAUCCGGUUCACUUUAACACUGAGGCGUGACGACGAGGCACUACGGUGCUGAAGCAACAAAUGCCCUGCUUCCAGGAAAAGCCUCUAAGCAUCAGGUAACAUCAAAUCGUACCCCAAACCGACACAGGUGGUCAGGUAGAGAAUACCAAGGCGCUUGAGAGAACUCGGGUGAAGGAACUAGGCAAAAUGGUGCCGUAACUUCGGGAGAAGGCACGCUGACACGUAGGUGAAGUGAUUUACUCAUGGAGCUGAAGUCAGUCGAAGAUACCAGCUGGCUGCAACUGUUUAUUAAAAACACAGCACUGUGCAAACACGAAAGUGGACGUAUACGGUGUGACGCCUGCCCGGUGCCGGAAGGUUAAUUGAUGGGGUCAGCGCAAGCGAAGCUCCUGAUCGAAGCCCCGGUAAACGGCGGCCGUAACUAUAACGGUCCUAAGGUAGCGAAAUUCCUUGUCGGGUAAGUUCCGACCUGCACGAAUGGCGUAAUGAUGGCCAGGCUGUCUCCACCCGAGACUCAGUGAAAUUGAACUCGCUGUGAAGAUGCAGUGUACCCGCGGCAAGACGGAAAGACCCCGUGAACCUUUACUAUAGCUUGACACUGAACAUUGAGCCUUGAUGUGUAGGAUAGGUGGGAGGCUUUGAAGCGUGGACGCCAGUCUGCGUGGAGCCGACCUUGAAAUACCACCCUUUAAUGUUUGAUGUUCUAACGUGGACCCGUAAUCCGGGUUGCGGACAGUGUCUGGUGGGUAGUUUGACUGGGGCGGUCUCCUCCUAAAGAGUAACGGAGGAGCACGAAGGUUGGCUAAUCCUGGUCGGACAUCAGGAGGUUAGUGCAAUGGCAUAAGCCAGCUUGACUGCGAGCGUGACGGCGCGAGCAGGUGCGAAAGCAGGUCAUAGUGAUCCGGUGGUUCUGAAUGGAAGGGCCAUCGCUCAACGGAUAAAAGGUACUCCGGGGAUAACAGGCUGAUACCGCCCAAGAGUUCAUAUCGACGGCGGUGUUUGGCACCUCGAUGUCGGCUCAUCACAUCCUGGGGCUGAAGUAGGUCCCAAGGGUAUGGCUGUUCGCCAUUUAAAGUGGUACGCGAGCUGGGUUUAGAACGUCGUGAGACAGUUCGGUCCCUAUCUGCCGUGGGCGCUGGAGAACUGAGGGGGGCUGCUCCUAGUACGAGAGGACCGGAGUGGACGCAUCACUGGUGUUCGGGUUGUCAUGCCAAUGGCACUGCCCGGUAGCUAAAUGCGGAAGAGAUAAGUGCUGAAAGCAUCUAAGCACGAAACUUGCCCCGAGAUGAGUUCUCCCUGAGACUUUAGGUCUCCUGAAGGAACGUUGAAGACGACGACGUUGAUAGGCCGGGUGUGUAAGCGCAGCGAUGCGUUGAGCUAACCGGUACUAAUGAACCGUGAGGCUUAACCUUACAACGCCGAAG
rnacentral:rRNA from 1 species